CGCGGUAAUACGGAGGAGGCAAGCGUUAUCCGGAAUUAUUGGGCGUAAAGCGUCCGCAGGGGGCGCAUCAAGUCUGCUGUUAAAGGUCGGAGCUUAACUCCGGUGUGGCAGUGGAAACGGGUGCGCUAGAGGGCGACAGGGGUAGAGGGAAUUCCCAGUGUAGCGGUGAAAUGCGUAGAGAUUGGGAAGAACACCGGUGGCGAAAGCGCUCUACUGGGUCGCACCUGACCCUCAGGGACGAAAGCUAAGGUAGCGAAAGGGAUUAGAUACCCCUGUAGUCUUAGCCGUAAACGAUGGAUACUAGGCGUGGUUUGUAUCGACCCAAGCCGUGCCGAAGCUAACGCGUUAAGUAUCCCGCCUGGGGAGUACGCACGCAAGUGUGAAACUCAAAGGAAUUGACGGGGGCCCGCACAAGCGGUGGAGGAUGUGGUUUAAUUCGAUGCAACGCGAAGAACCUUACCAGGGCUUGACAUCCCGCGAAUCUCGGUGAAAGCUGAGAGUGCCUUCGGGAACGCGGAGACAGGUGGUGCAUGGCUGUCGUCAGCUCGUGUCGUGAGAUGUUGGGUUAAGUCCCGCAACGAGCGCAACCCUCGUCCUUAGUUGCCAGCAUUAGGUUGGGAACUCUAGGGAGACUGCCGGUGACAAACCGGAGGAAGGUGAGGAUGACGUCAAGUCAGCAUGCCCCUUAUGCUCUGGGCGACACACGUCCUACAAUGGUCGGGACAGAGGGAAGCGAACUCGCAAGAGCCAGCAAAUCCCAUCAAACUCGGCCUCAGUUCAGAUAGCAGGCUGCAACUCGCCUGCUUGAAGGAGGAAUCGCUAGUAAUCGCCGGUCAGAAUACGGCGGUGAAUUCGUUCCCGGGCCUUGUACACACCGCCCGUCACACCAUGGAAGCUGGCCAAGCCCGAAGUCGUUACCCUAACCCGUGUGGAGGGGGGCGCCGAAGGCUGGGCUAGUGACUGGGGUGAAGUCGUAACAAGGUAGCCGUACCGGAAGGUGUGGCUGGAUCACCUCCUUAAAAGGAGA
rnacentral:rRNA from 1 species